UGGAANUGGGGGAACCCUGAUCCAGCCAUGCCGCGUGAGUGAUGAAGGCCUUCGGGUUGUAAAACUCUUUCGCGCACGACGAUAAUGACGGUAGUGCGAGAAGAAGCUCCGGCUAACUUCGUGCCAGCAGCCGCGGUAAUACGAAGGGGGCUAGCGUUGUUCGGAAUUACUGGGCGUAAAGCGCGCGCAGGCGGUCUUCCAAGUCAGUGGUGAAAGCCCGGAGCUCAACUCCGGAACUGCCAUUGAAACUGUGAGACUUGAGGAUGAGAGAGGUGAGUGGAAUUCCCAGUGUAGAGGUGAAAUUCGUAGAUAUUGGGAAGAACACCGGUGGCGAAGGCGGCUCACUGGCUCAUUUCUGACGCUCAGGCGCGACAGCGUGGGGAUCAAACAGGAUUAGAUACCCUGGUAGUCCACGCCGUAAACGAUGAUUGCUAGCCGUUGGGCAGCUUGCUGUUCAGUGGCGCAGCUAACGCAUUAAGCAAUCCGCCUGGGGAGUACGGCCGCAAGGUUGAAACUCAAAGGAAUUGACGGA
rnacentral:rRNA from 1 species